rnacentral:rRNA from 1 species
UUGAUCCUGGCUCAGGAUUACGCUGGCGGUGUGCCUAAUACAUGCAAGUCGAGCGCUCACUUCGGUGAGAGCGGCAGACGGGUGAGUAACACGUUGGUAGCUGCCCCAUAGUCAGGAAUAAGCCACAGAAAUGUGGUCUAAUACCGGAUAGUCCCGAAAGGGUAAAGCUUUAUGCGCUAUGGGAGGUGCCUGCGUCCUAUCAGCUUGUUGGUGAGGUAAUAGCUCACCAAGGCUAUGACGGGUAGCUGGUUUGAGAGAACGACCAGCCACAAUGGAACUGAGACACGGUCCAUACUCCUACGGGAGGCAGCAGUAAGGAAUUUUGCGCAAUGGGGGAAACCCUGACGCAGCAACACCGCGUGAAGGAUGAAGGCCUUUUGGUUGUAAACUUCUUUUCUGAGGGAGUAAAUAUGAAAGUACCUCAGGAAUAAGCACCGGCUAACUCCGUGCCAGCAGCCGCGGUAAGACGGAGGGUGCAAGCGUUAUCCGGAAUUAUUGGGCGUAAAGAGUCCGUAGGUGUUUUAUUAAGUAUGAUGUCAAAGACUGGGGCUUAACUCCAGGCCGGUAUCAUAAACUGGUAAAAUAGAGUCGUGUAGAGGCAUGUGGAAUGCUGCAAGUAGGGGUAAUAUCCGUUGAUAUGCAGUGGAACACCAAAAGCGAAGGCAGCAUGCUGGGCACGUACUGACGCUCAAGGACGAAAGCGUGGGUAGCGAACAGGAUUAGAUACCCUGGUAGUCCACGCCGUAAACGAUGAUAACUCGCUGUUGGAGGUUCGACCCCUUCAGUGGCUAAGCAAACGCGAUAAGUUAUCCGCCUGGGUAGUACGGUCGCAAGAUUAAAACUCAAAGGAAUAGACGGGGACCCACACAAGCGGUGGAGCAUCUUGUUUAAUUCGACAAUAAGCGGAAAACCUCACCAGGACUUGACAUCCCGAGAAAGUUGCAGAAAUGUGACUGUGCCUUUAGGAACUCGGUGACAGGUGCUGCAUGGUUGUCGUCAGCUCGUGCCUUGAGGUGUUCGGUUAAGUCCGUAAACGAGCGCAACCCAUGUCCAUAGUUGUAUGUUUCUAUGGAGACUGCCGGCUCUAAGUCGGAGGAAGGUAUGGAUGACGUCAAAUCAGCAUGGCCCUUAUGUCCUGGGCUACAAAGGUGCUACAAUGGCCGAUACAACGGGCAGCGAAGGAGUAAUCCGGAGCCAAUCCUUAAAGUCGGUCUAAGUUCGAAUUGAGGGCUGAAAUUCGCCCUCAUGAAGUUGGAAUCGCUAGUAACCGUGAAUCAGCAUGUUACGGUGAAUACGUUCCUGGGUCUUGUACUCACCGCCCGUCAAGUCAUGAAAGAUGGGGGCGCCCAAAGUCCCUUUA